GGGCGAUUAGCUCAGUUGGGAGAGCACCUCCCUUACAAGGAGGGGGUCACUGGUUCGGUAUCGCCCACCA
rnacentral:tRNA from 1 species